rnacentral:rRNA from 1 species
UACGUAGGGUGCUAGCGUUAAUCGGAAUUACUGGGCGUAAAGCGUGCGCAGGCGGUUUUGUAAGCCCGAUGUGAAAUCCCCGGGCUUAACCUGGGAAUGGCAUUUGGGACUGCAAGGCUGGAGUGCGGCAGAGGAGACUGGAAUUCCUGGUGUAGCAGUGAAAUGCGUAGAUAUCAGGAGGAACACCGAUGGCGAAGGCAGGUCUCUGGGCUGACACUGACGCUCAUGCACGAAAGCGUGGGGAGCAAACAGG